GUUGAUAAUAACAAGAAGAUCUGGAAGAUGAAGAUACCUCUUAAGAAUAAAAUCUUUGCAUGGUAUCUUCGUCGCGGAGUCAUUCUUACUAAAGAUAACCUUAUUAAGAGGAAUUGGCAUGGAAGCCCACAAUGUGUUUUUUGUCACCAUGAUGAGACGAUAAAAUAUUUAUUCUUCCAAUCCAAAUUGGCUCGUUCUAUAUGGUCAGUCAUCUGGAUAGCUUCUGGCUUGUAUCUUUCUUGUAGUGUUGCUAAUGUAUUUGGCAACUAG
rnacentral:rRNA from 1 species